rnacentral:lncRNA from 7 species
GAGGGCAUCCAGAACACGCAGAGGAGAAUAGCAGCCUUAGCUCUGGAUUCCACAAUUUAAUGCUGUCAAAAGCAUUGAGUUUGGUGCCAUGUGCCUUAGUCUCCAGAUGAAGCAGUAGCAACAGGAAUUCAGGAUUGUGUGGGGUAGCUGAUGGGGGAUUCUGAGGCUCUGAAACAGGACAACCAACCAUGAAGGCAACUGACAUUCCUAUAAACUACUGUGUUUUUCAAAGACUUGAUGUCUCUCAAACACUGCAGAUUAACAGAACCAUAUUGCUUUAUUCGCGUCAAGGACAUCAUCAUCAGAGGUGGCAGAUAGCAGGAAUACGCAGCUGGAGGGACAGGAAGAAGAACUUGGUGAGAGCAAGUGAACAGGAACAGAAGUGAACAGUAAAGCUUUGAAGGUAACAGAGCGCUGGAACAGGAUGCCCAGAGAGGUUGUGGAGUCUUCUCCUCUGGAGAUAUUCAAAACCCACACAGAUGCUUUCCUGUGCAACCUACUGUAGGGAACCUGCUUCAGCAGGGGGGUUGAACUGACGAUCUCCAGAGUUCCCUUCCAACCCCCGUGAUUCUGUGACUGCAGGACUGUGUGAAGACUGUGUUAGAAAUGUGCUGGAGAUAGGUAGAGCGGCGAAAGAUAAGUAGUUUUUAACCAAAAAGGCAAAUUAUUAGCCUACGGGAACAAACCUUUCAGAAGUAUCUUGGAAUUUUAAUGUUCACAUACCUGCCUGUAACUGUCAGGUCUGCUGUGCUUACUGGGGGACAUUUGAGAGAGGUGUGCUCUACAGUAAAUCCCAGCUGUUGU